GGCGGCAUAGCCAAGUGGUAAGGCAGGGGUCUGCAAAAUCCUUAUCGUCGGUUCGAUUCCGACUGCCGCCU
rnacentral:tRNA from 2 species